rnacentral:rRNA from 1 species
CCCCUCCGCGAGUUCGCCAAGGACAGUGUCCGCCUCGUCAAGCGCUGCCACAAGCCCGACUGCAAUGAGUUCACCAAGGUGGCGGCACGGACAGCGAUCGGGUUCAUCGUCAUGGGAUUCGUCGGCUUCUUCGUCAAGCUCAUCUUCAUCCCCAUCAACAACAUCAUCGCCGGCUCCGGCUAG